rnacentral:rRNA from 1 species
GGGUUGUGAGGUUAAGCGACUAAGCGUACACGGUGGAUGCCCUGGCAGUCAGAGGCGAUGAAGGGCGUGCUAAUCUGCGAUAAGCGCCGGUAAGGUGAUAUGAACCGUUAUAACCGGCGAUACCCGAAUGGGGAAACCCAGUGUGACUCGUCACACUAUCAUUAACUGAAUCCAUAGGUUAAUGAGGCGAACCGGGGGAACUGAAACAUCUAAGUACCCCGAGGAAAAGAAAUCAACCGAGAUUCCCCCAGUAGCGGCGAGCGAACGGGGAGGAGCCCAGAGCCUGAAUCAGCAUGUGUGUUAGUGGAAGCGUCUGGAAAGGCGCGCGAUACAGGGUGACAGCCCCGUACACAAAAGCGCAUGUGCUGUGAGCUCGAUGAGUAGGGCGGGACACGUGGUAUCCUGUCUGAAUAUGGGGGGACCAUCCUCCAAGGCUAAAUACUCCUGACUGACCGAUAGUGAACCAGUACCGUGAGGGAAAGGCGAAAAGAACCCCGGCGAGGGGAGUGAAAAAGAACCUGAAACCGUGUACGUACAAGCAGUGGGAGCACAGGUUUACCUGUGUGACUGCGUACCUUUUGUAUAAUGGGUCAGCGACUUAUAUUCUGUAGCAAGGUUAACCGUAUAGGGGAGCCGGAGGGAAACCGAGUCUUAAUUGGGCGUUAAGUUGCAGGGUAUAGACCCGAAACCCGGUGAUCUAGCCAUGGGCAGGUUGAAGGUUGGGUAACACUAACUGGAGGACCGAACCGACUAAUGUUGAAAAAUUAGCGGAUGACCUGUGGCUGGGGGUGAAAGGCCAAUCAAACCGGGAGAUAGCUGGUUCUCCCCGAAAGCUAUUUAGGUAGCGCCUCGUGAAUUCAUCUCCGGGGGUAGAGCACUGUUUCGGCUAGGGGGCCAUCCCGGCUUACCAACCCGAUGCAAACUGCGAAUACCGGAGAAUGUUAUCACGGGAGACACACGGCGGGUGCUAACGUCCGUCGUGAAGAGGGAAACAACCCAGACCGCCAGCUAAGGUCCCAAAGUCAUGGUUAAGUGGGAAACGAUGUGGGAAGGCCCAGACAGCCAGGAUGUUGGCUUAGAAGCAGCCAUCAUUUAAAGAAAGCGUAAUAGCUCACUGGUCGAGUCGGCCUGCGCGGAAGAUGUAACGGGGCUAAACCAUGCACCGAAGCUGCGGCAGCGACACUGUGUGUUGUUGGGUAGGGGAGCGUUCUGUAAGCCUGUGAAGGUGUGUCGUGAGGCAUGCUGGAGGUAUCAGAAGUGCGAAUGCUGACAUAAGUAACGAUAAAGCGGGUGAAAAGCCCGCUCGCCGGAAGACCAAGGGUUCCUGUCCAACGUUAAUCGGGGCAGGGUGAGUCGACCCCUAAGGCGAGGCCGAAAGGCGUAGUCGAUGGGAAACGGGUUAAUAUUCCCGUACUUGGUGUUACUGCGAAGGGGGGACGGAGAAGGCUAUGUUGGCCGGGCGACGGUUGUCCCGGUUUAAGCGUGUAGGUGUGUGUUCCAGGUAAAUCCGGUUCACUUUAACACUGAGGCGUGAUGACGAGGCACUACGGUGCUGAAGCAACAAAUGCCCUGCUUCCAGGAAAAGCCUCUAAGCAUCAGGUAACAUCAAAUCGUACCCCAAACCGACACAGGUGGUCAGGUAGAGAAUACCAAGGCGCUUGAGAGAACUCGGGUGAAGGAACUAGGCAAAAUGGUGCCGUAACUUCGGGAGAAGGCACGCUGACACGUAGGUGAAGUGAUUUACUCACGGAGCUGAAGUCAGUCGAAGAUACCAGCUGGCUGCAACUGUUUAUUAAAAACACAGCACUGUGCAAACACGAAAGUGGACGUAUACGGUGUGACGCCUGCCCGGUGCCGGAAGGUUAAUUGAUGGGGUCAGCGCAAGCGAAGCUCCUGAUCGAAGCCCCGGUAAACGGCGGCCGUAACUAUAACGGUCCUAAGGUAGCGAAAUUCCUUGUCGGGUAAGUUCCGACCUGCACGAAUGGCGUAAUGAUGGCCAGGCUGUCUCCACCCGAGACUCAGUGAAAUUGAACUCGCUGUGAAGAUGCAGUGUACCCGCGGCAAGACGGAAAGACCCCGUGAACCUUUACUAUAGCUUGACACUGAACAUUGAGCCUUGAUGUGUAGGAUAGGUGGGAGGCUUUGAAGUGUGGACGCCAGUCUGCAUGGAGCCGACCUUGAAAUACCACCCUUUAAUGUUUGAUGUUCUAACGUGGACCCGUUACCCGGGUUGCGGACAGUGUCUGGUGGGUAGUUUGACUGGGGCGGUCUCCUCCUAAAGAGUAACGGAGGAGCACGAAGGUUGGCUAAUCCUGGUCGGACAUCAGGAGGUUAGUGCAAUGGCAUAAGCCAGCUUGACUGCGAGCGUGACGGCGCGAGCAGGUGCGAAAGCAGGUCAUAGUGAUCCGGUGGUUCUGAAUGGAAGGGCCAUCGCUCAACGGAUAAAAGGUACUCCGGGGAUAACAGGCUGAUACCGCCCAAGAGUUCAUAUCGACGGCGGUGUUUGGCACCUCGAUGUCGGCUCAUCACAUCCUGGGGCUGAAGUAGGUCCCAAGGGUAUGGCUGUUCGCCAUUUAAAGUGGUACGCGAGCUGGGUUUAGAACGUCGUGAGACAGUUCGGUCCCUAUCUGCCGUGGGCGCUGGAGAACUGAGGGGGGCUGCUCCUAGUACGAGAGGACCGGAGUGGACGCAUCACUGGUGUUCGGGUUGUCAUGCCAAUGGCACUGCCCGGUAGCUAAAUGCGGAAGAGAUAAGUGCUGAAAGCAUCUAAGCACGAAACUUGCCCCGAGAUGAGUUCUCCCUGAGACUUAGAGUCUCCUGAAGGAACGUUGAAGACGACGACGUUGAUAGGCCGGGUGUGUAAGCGCAGCGAUGCGUUGAGCUAACCGGUACUAAUGAACCGUGAGGCUUAACCUUACAACGCCGAAG